AACAGGAUUAGAUACCCUGGUAGUCCACGCCCUAAACGAUGUCUACUAGUUGUUGGGUCUUAAUUGACUUAGUAACGCAGCUAACGCGUGAAGUAGACCGCCUGGGGAGUACGGUCGCAAGAUUAAAACUCAAAGGAAUUGACGGGGACCCGCACAAGCGGUGGAUGAUGUGGAUUAAUUCGAUGCAACGCGAAAAACCUUACCUACCCUUGACAUGUCAGGAACCUUGGAGAGAUCUGAGGGUGCCCGAAAGGGAACCUGAACACAGGUGCUGCAUGGCUGUCGUCAGCUCGUGUCGUGAGAUGUUGGGUUAAGUCCCGCAACGAGCGCAACCCUUGUCAUUAGUUGCUACGAAAGGGCACUCUAAUGAGACUGCCGGUGACAAACCGGAGGAAGGUGGGGAUGACGUCAAGUCCUCAUGGCCCUUAUGGGUAGGGCUUCACACGUCAUACAAUGGUACAUACAGAGGGCCGCCAACCCGCGAGGGGGAGCUAAUCCCAGAAAGUGUAUCGUAGUCCGGAUUGUAGUCUGCAACUCGACUGCAUGAAGUUGGAAUCGCUAGUAAUCGCGGAUCAGCAUGUCGCGGUGAAUACGUUCCCGGGUCUUGUACACACCGCCCGUCACACCAUGGGAGCGGGUUUUACCAGAAGUAGGUAGCUUAACCGCAAGGAGGGCGCUUACCACGGUAGGAUUCGUGACUGGGGUGAAGUCGUAACAAGGUAACC
rnacentral:rRNA from 1 species